UACGGAGGGGGCUAGCGUUGUUCGGAAUUACUGGGCGUAAAGCGCACGUAGGCGGCUUUGCAAGUCAGAGGUGAAAGCCCGGGGCUCAACCCCGGAAUUGCCUUUGAGACUGCAUCGCUAGAAUUGUGGAGAGGUAAGUGGAAUUCCGAGUGUAGAGGUGAAAUUCGUAGAUAUUGGGAAGAACACCGGUGGCGAAGGCGGCGACCUGGUCCUUGACUGACGCUGAGGCGCGAAAGCGUGGGGAGCAAACAGG
rnacentral:rRNA from 1 species